GAUGAACGCUGGCGGCGUGCCUAAUACAUGCAAGUCGAGCGAACAGACGAGGAGCUUGCUCCUCUGACGUUAGCGGCGGACGGGGGAGUAACACGUGGCUAACCUACCUAUAAGACUGGGAUUACUUCGGAAAACCGGAGCUAAUACCGGAUAAUAUAUUGAACCGCAUGGUUCAAUAGUGAAAGGCGGUUUUGCUGUUACUUAUAGAUGGUUACGCGCCGCAUUAGCUAGUUGGUGAGGGAGCGGCUUACCAAGGCAACGAUGCGUAGCCGACCUGAGGGGGUGAUCGGCCACAGUGGAACUGGGACACGGUCCAGACUCCUACGGGAGGCAGAAGUAGGGAAUCGUCCGCAAGGGGCGAAAGCCUGACGGAGCAACGCCGCGGGAGUGAUGAAGGUCUUCGGAUCGUAAAACUCUGUUAUUAGGGAAGAACAAAUGGGUAAGUAACUAUGCACGUCUUGACGGUACCUAAUCAGAAAGCCACGGCUAACUACGUG
rnacentral:rRNA from 1 species